ACUCCCUACGGAGGCAGCAGUAGGGAAUCUUCCACAAUGGGCGCAAGCCUGAUGGAGCAACACCGCGUGAGUGAAGAAGGGUUUCGGCUCGUAAAGCUCUGUUGUUAAAGAAGAACACGUAUGAGAGUAACUGUUCAUACGUUGACGGUAUUUAACCAGAAAGUCACGGCUAACUACGUGCCAGCAGCCGCGGUAAUACGUAGGUGGCAAGCGUUAUCCGGAUUUAUUGGGCGUAAAGAGAGUGCAGGCGGUUUUCUAAGUCUGAUGUGAAAGCCUUCGGCUUAACCGGAGAAGUGCAUCGGAAACUGGAUAACUUGAGUGCAGAAGAGGGUAGUGGAACUCCAUGUGUAGCGGUGGAAUGCGUAGAUAUAUGGAAGAACACCAGUGGCGAAGGCGGCUACCUGGUCUGCAACUGACGCUGAGACUCGAAAGCAUGGGUAGCGAACAGGAUUAGAUACCCUGGUAGGAUAGCG
rnacentral:rRNA from 1 species